UAGCUUAGUUGGUAGUGCUUCUGCCUUGUAAGCGCUAGGCCGCGGGUUCGAUUCCCGC
rfam:Asian citrus Psyllid, Diaphorina citri - Florida Strain, whole genome shotgun sequence.